rnacentral:lncRNA from 1 species
CAGGGGUCCCUGAGUUUUGGCUCCUGCAGUUUGAGGGCUCCUUCCCAGGAGUUUGCAGUCCUUUCUGAGUUGCGACGGCUCCAGAAUGAAUGUCGUGGCUAUAACCUCCAACCUGACCAUGAUAUCCAGAGGUGGCUACAGGGGCUCCGGCCACUGACAGAGGCUCAGAGGUGACUGGCGGGUGAGGUUGGGACUCCAGGGUUCUGGCCAGGUGUGGGGGAUUGGUGUCAUGUCCUGAGCUCUGCCUAUUGCCCCCCUAACCCAGCCAUCGUGUAUCCUGUGAGGUGGAGCCACCUGGUUCCAGUGACCCUCCUGCCCCACGGGUGCUUCGGCCAACAUUGGUCAUCUCGCAGUGGACAGAGGUUUUGGGCUCUGUUGGGGUCCCUACCCCGCUUGUGUCCUGUGACCGGCCCAGUAUUGGGGGAGAUGAGGCGCCUACAACUCCUGCUCCUCUGCUGACUCGGCUGGCCCAGCACAUGAAGUGGCCAUCUGUCUCGUCACUAGACUCUGCCUUGGAAAGCAGUCCAUCCCUGCACAGUCCAGCUGACCCCAGCCACCUCUCCCCACCAGCCUCCUCCCCUAGGC